UUGCAGUUAAAAAGCUCGUAGUCGGAUUUCAGCUUUGCUCAUCUUUUCCACUUUGGAUCUGCUGGGGAGGGCUUCUUUGACGGAAGUAUUCCUGACACUCAUUUGUUGGGUUUUUCAACCGUCUCUUUUACUUUGAGAAAAUUAGAGUGUUCAAAGCAGGCAUUGCCUGAAUAUUACUCUUGGAAUAAUAAUAGAUGACUCUGGUGCUAGUUUGUUGGUGCACUGGUGCCGGAGUAAUGAUUAAUAGCGACGGUUGGGGUCAUUCGUACUGCAAAGCGAGAGGUGAAAUUCUUGGACCUUUGUAUGACGAACAACUGCGAAAGCAUUUGACUAGGACGUUCGCGUUGAUCAAGAACGAAAGUUGGGGGAUCGAAGACGAUCAGAUACCGUCGUAGUCUCAACCCUACACUAUGCCAGCUAGGGAUGAGCGAUUGUCUUCACUGACAUCGU
rnacentral:rRNA from 1 species